rnacentral:misc_RNA from 1 species
CCACUAUCCUACCCGCAAACAUA